AAUUAUUGAAGUAGAGAUAGUGCUGCUACGCGCCUAGUGGGCCAAAAGAAAUGUGGGAAGGGGCACACCCACCAAUAAUU
ncrna:unclassified sequences skipping-rope RNA